rnacentral:rRNA from 1 species
UACGUAGGGUGCGGGCGUUAAUCGGAAUUACUGGGCGUAAAGCGUGCGCAGGCGGUUUUGUAAGAUAGAUGUGAAAUCCCCGGGCUUAACCUGGGAACUGCAUUUGUGACUGCAAGACUAGAGUGCGGCAGAGGGGGGUAGAAUUCCACGUGUAGCAGUGAAAUGCGUAGAUAUGUGGAGGAAGGCCGAUGGCGAAGGCAGCACCCUGGGUCGACACUGACGCUCAUGCACGAAAGCGUGGGGAGCAAACGGG